AAAAUAAGUGUAGUUUUAGCACUGUUCAUGCCUAACAUUUGAUCACUCGUCUUAUUUGAAAAUUUUUUAUGAUUACUACUUUUAUUGUUAUUAGAUGAUAAAACAUGAAUAGUAUUUUAUGUGUGACUAAUUUUUUUAAUAUUUUUCAUAAAUUUUUUAAAUAAGACGGAUGGCCAAAAUGAUGAACACGGAUAUCUAUAGCUGCACUUAUUUUGGGACGGAGGUAGUAG
rnacentral:pre_miRNA from 1 species